rnacentral:lncRNA from 1 species
UGAGGGGCUGACUGCACCCAGCACAUAUAUGGUGUCUUGCAACUGGCCCAACUGAUAGGAAAUCUAAAGCGCAAUAUUAGAAGGCCUAGUUGCUUCUUCUCCAAACAAAUAUUCAGACAACCUAAGAAGUAUUGAAGACCACUAUUCUUCAUCUUCACCUCUUCUGUACUUCUCUUCACCGUCUUCUUCUACUCCUUGUGUGAUUUCAUGAAUCACAAAAUUAGCAUGGGGUUUCUUCAUCUUAACAUCCCCCCUCAAGUUAGGGGGUAACUGUGUAACCCAUAACUUGCUCAAUAGCUGAGAAUGAGAAACCCCUGAGAGGGGCUUAGUGAAUAGAUCUGCCAGCUGAUCAUGAGAGGGAACAAAAGAAAGACUAAUUAGCCCAGAGAGGAACUGUUGACAGACAAAAUGGUAGUUGAUUUUGACAUGUUUUGUCUGUUCAUGAAAUACCGAAUUACGAGCAAUGUGAAUAGCUCCCUUUCUAUCAGAGUGAAGGAGAAUAGGAAGAGCUACUGGGAAAAAGAGUUCUUCAAGAAGUCGAACAAGCCAAGUAUGUGUUGUUGUAACUCGUCUCAUAGAUUGAUAUUCCGCUUAUGUAGAUGAUAAAGAAAUUGAGACAUGCUUAUUUGAUUUCCAGGAAAUUGGAGCUCCUCCAAGUGUAAUGAAAUAUCCACUUACAGACCUUCUGGAUUCUUUACAAGAAGCCCAGUCUGCAUCGCAAAAUGAAAGCAGAGAGAAAGAUAGGCUUGAGGAAAGAAGAAUACCCGGACCUGGAUCGGCACUUAAAUACUUCAAGACUCGCAGGGCAGCUAUGAAAUGUGAACACAAGGCCUCUGCAUGUACUGACUGAGAGAAAGAACUGCAAAGGAGAGGUCUGGUCGAGUGUUGGUCAAAUAAUUCAGUUUGCCAAUCAAAUGACGAAAGAUUGUGGGGUUUGCCAGAGGUCUGCCAUCAUCAGAAACAAGUUUAUGUGAGGGAUCCAGGGUUGAGAUGACUGACUUCAAAUGAGAAACAUCAAACUCCUGAAGCAGAUCCAAGGUAAACUUCCUUUGAUUCACAAUGAACCCUUCUUUUUCUCGCAAAAUUCUCAUUCCCAGAAAGUAGUGUAUAUCUCCUAGAUUUUUUAUCUUGAAUUCUGCAUUGAGAAACCCUUUGAUGUGCUGAAUUUCUUGUAGAUCAUUCCCUGUAAAUAGAAUGUCAUAUACAUACACUGCUAGGAUGAAUAUUAGUUCACCAGUUCGUUUAAAAAUUAAAGAAUAAUCAUUUAGAGAAGUUGAAUAUCCUUUAAAGCUAAAAGCUCCAGCAAGUCUAGCAUACCACUGCCUAGAAGCUUGCUUCAAACCAUAUAAAGAUUUUCUGAGUAGACAGACAUGUUUAGCACUAGUAGGUGUGACACCCGAGGGAAGCUUCAUGUAUACUUCUUCCUGUAGGUCACCAUGCAAAAAUGCAUUGUUGACAUCCAAUUGAGGAACCUUCCAAUCUCUUUUAGCUGCUAUAGUGAGCAGACAUGUGAUAGUUGUCAUUUUCACAACUGGAGAAAAUGUUUCACUAUAGUCUAUGCCUUCUCUUUGAAUAUCCUCCUCACCACUAGCCUAGCCUUUAGUCUCUCCACCCUUCCAUCAGAUAGAUGUUUUACCUUGUAUACCCAUUUACAAGGUAGAGCUCUCUUUCCUUUAGGUAAUUCAACCACAUCUCAUGUCUUAUUAUCCUCUAGUGCUUUGAUUUCAAAAUCCAUUGCUUCUACCCAACCUGGGUGUUAGACAAGCUAGAGAGAAAAUAGUAGGCUCAAUGAUGGUAGAAAGAGACUGAAGGAUGUGUUGGUUGUUGGGUGUAAGGAAAAAAACAACAGUAUUGCCUUGGGUUGCAUGGUUGAUGGAAGCAAAUAGCUUCCACAUAUGUGAACAUGAUGUUGUUGCACACAUAGUCCUUUAGGUAAACUGGUUGUUUGGAUACCCUUGAUGAUUUUCUGACUGGUGUGUGUUGUUGAGGAACUGGAAAAGGUGAGGAGUGGUGUUGAGUAUCCAAAGGAUCUUGUAGAGGAAUUGGACUAAGAGACUGUUGUGAGGGAGACUCUGAACAGUGAUUAUGUGGAGAUAAGAUUGACGGACUUCUGUUAGAAUAUUCAGGUUCAAAGAAAAGGGGUGAGAUUGGAUCUUAUGUUGGGUGUGAAAGUGUGGGAGAUGAGAGUAGAUCUUCUGGUGGGUGUGAAAAUGUAGGUUCAGUGGUGAGUGUUGGGUUGGAAAAAAUAGGUUGGGGUGUAGAAAUAUUCUUUGCAAAAAGGAAAUAUGAUUCAUGAAACUUCACAUCUCUUGACACAAAAACUUUGCCAGUUUCAAAUCUAAUAGCUUAUACCCUUUCUGAUGAACAGGAUACCCAAGUAAAACACAAGUUGUUGCCCUUUCAUCAAAUUUGCCUCUUCCUUGUGCUAGAGUUGAAGCAUAACACAUGCACUCAAAAUUCCUAAGAUAAUCAUACUUAGGCUUUCUCUGAAACAAAACCUCAUAUGGUGUUCUUCCAUUGAGCACAUUAGAAGGCAUUUUAUUAAUGAGGUGUGUGGCAGUUAGAAUGGAUUCCCGCCAAUAUUUCAUAGGCAAUUUAGACUGAAACAUCAGUGCCCUUGCAGUUUCCAGAAGGUGUCUAUGCUUUCUCUCAACAAUCCCAUUUUGUUGAGGAGUUGCUACACAAGAUAACUUAUGUAUAAUCCCUUGAGAAGAAAGAUAUCCUGCCUCUUGGGUUCCUUUUCCCAAUUCUAAAGCAUUGUCAGAUCUUAUGGCCUUCACCUUUAAAUUGAACUGCCUCUCAACCAUAGACAGAAAAUACCUGAGCAUAGGAAAGGCAUUACUUUUUGUACUUAACAAGAAUGUCCACAUCCCUCUACUUAGUCAUCUACUAUGGUUAGAAAAUAUUUGUAUCCAUUGUAAGCGUUUGACUUAUAGGGUCCCCAUGUGUCAACAUGAAUGAAUUCAAAUAUUUGUUUGGUCCUUAUGCUACUAACAUGAAUAGAAUUUCUAGUCUGUUUAGCCCUAGGACAAACAUCACAAAUGAAAUCAGAAUGCAACUUACAAUGAAGGAAAUGUAAAUGUUUCAUUGCUGAAAAUGGGAGGUGUCUCAACCUUACAUGCCAAAGCUUAAAAUCACUAACAACAUUAGCUUAAAUAGAACUAGGAAAGGAAAUGAAUUUGAAAUGGAAUUGCAUCCUUUUGGAAUUGAAAAUACAUCAUUGCUAAAAGAACCUUAGACUUGACACUAUUUGGUUCCAAUAGAUAGAGUCCUUCUCUAACUUCACCAAUAGCUUGAGGACUCUUCAUUGAAAGGCCCUGCAGCACACACUCAACAGAUGUGAACAAUACAUCAUAUUUGAAUUCAAUACAAAAUCUAUUAACUGACAACAAAUUGUACUUGAACUAUGGAACAUGUAAAACAUUGUUCAGAGUAUGGCCAAGCAGUAUGGUGAUGCUUCCUAUGUGAGUGACAGUUACCUUGAAUGAAUUAGGUAAACUAAUUUUUAAAGGCACAGGAAGAGGAGCUAGAAACAAGAAAGAAUUUGGGUCAAAACACAUGUGCUCUGAGGCACUUGAAUCAAUGAUCCAAAUGUCUGAUUUUAAAGUUGUGAAAACUGAACUUGAAUAUUUUAAAAUUGUACCAGCAACUGCAUUAGCAUUGAUUGCAUUGUUCCCUCCUUGUGUUAGCUUUGCUUGCUUGUACAUUUGCUCAUCUUUGCUAUCUAUUCCUUGCUCAUCUGCUAUCCAAAAUUAAUGUUUUGCUCAUUGCUCUGUCCAGCUGAACCUCCAUGUUCAUCAUGUGUUAGAACUGCAUUUCCUUUGAUUUGAUUUUGGUUUUGGUACCUCUUCUGGUUUGUAAACUCAAAAUUUUCUGGGAAACCAAUGAUCCUGUAGCAAUCUUCUUGAGAGUGCCUUGUUUUUCCACAAUAGGAACAGGUCAGAUUUGGGUUGUAUUUCUUCAUCUCUUUGAAUUUCUGCUGGGCCCUGGGGAAUCUCUGUGGAGUAUUAUUAAAUUUAGACCCUAUGCCUCCUCCUCUUUGUGACUGAUUCCUGCUCCUUUGAAAAUUCUUUCCUGGUCCAGUGUUCAUGAAAGCUGCAAAGUCAGCCAGUAGUUGGUUUUGAGUGUUACCAUGAAUGAUGUUGGUUUUGAGUGUUAAAUUGUGCAUUUGCAUACACUUCCCUCUGAUUCUCAUCCUGAAGCAGUAAUGAAUAGGCAACAUCCAUGCUGGGUAAUGGAUUCAUCAUGAGAAUGUUGCGUCUUGCCUGGGCAUAUGUGUCGCUAAGUCCCAUUAGGAAUUGAAUUAAUAUCUGGUCCUCCAGAUAUUUUGUGAGCUUUGCUUUUCCUUCACAAACACAGAUACAAGAACAACAUAUGAUGACAUUCAAAGCAUCUAAUUCAUCCCAUAAUAUUUUGAGCUUAGUAAAAUAUCCUUCUAUGUCAGAAUUUCCUUGAACUAACCCUGAUAAUUCCUUUUGUAGGUGAUACAACUUGGCACCAUUGGACUUUCUAAACCUCUGCUCGAGGCUAUCCCACAAGUCUUUUGCAGUUUUGGAAUAAAUUACACUAUCCGCUAUAUCCUUUGAGAGAGAAUUCAAGGUCCAAGAGAUUACCAUAUCAUUCACACAACUCUAGUGCUCAUAAUCUGGUGACUUCAGGUCUGGAGCUGGACAACCUCCAUUGAUGAAUCCGAGCUUCUUCUUGGCUGAAAGAGAUAUAAGAAUAAAACUUCUCCAUCCAAGAUAACAUUUUCCUUCAAAAACCGAGUUGACAAGUGUCGUUCCUGGGGAAUCAGAAUUAUUGAGAUGGUAGGGAUGUUAGCAUAAUAGGUUACAACUUUUGUACCAUUGCUUGCUUCAGCUGUAACAACUGGAGGUGUUUCUACCAUUUUAGCUUAUUGAUUUAAGGAAGAAUUUGUGAUUUAAAUGGUGAUGAAAACUUCUGGAUCGAGCUCAAUGCUCUGAUACCAUGAAGGAUUUGAG